AAAAGGUGCAAUGUCGGAGCAGGAGGCGUAUAUUUGCAGCAACAAAAAGGCAUCUAUCGAUCUCUCUUCUUUUAUACAUACAAGUUGCAUUGCUUGCAGUUUGGUAUGAGAAGAGGAUUUUUCUUGUAGCGGGAACAGUUCAUCCUCAAUGUAUAAGCGUAUGACAUCCAGAGAUUCCAUGAGUGCUGAUGUUGAAGCUGUUUCAGUUCUUCUUCAGAAUGGUGUACAAAAAGAGAUGACAAAUCCCUCUUGGAAGUAUUCGUGUCCACAUGUACUUGUAGCAACAAUAGUUGCACUUCUGUUUGGCUAUCAUCUUGGGGUAGUGAAUGAACCACUUGAAAUUAUUUCAGUUGAUCUUGGAUUCAGCGGGGAUACAUUGGCGGAAGGUCUGGUGGUGAGUACGUGUCUGGCCGCUGCCUUUGCUGGAUCCUUGAUAAGUGGUUGGAUUGCUGAUGGAGUUGGCCGUCGUCGAGCCUUUCAGUUGUGCUCAUUGCCUAUGCUUUUGGGUGCUUCUAUAUGUGCAACUGCCAAAACCCUAGCAGGCAUGCUUGCAGGAAGAUUUUUAGUGGGAUUAGGAUUGGGCGUGGGUCCUCCGGUUGCUUCUCUUUACGUUGCAGAGGUUUCUCCUGCUCAUGUGAGGGGUACUUACGGGAGUUUGAUUCAAAUAGCAACAUGUCUUGGGCUGAUGGCAGCUCUUGUUCUAGGGAUCCCCGUCAAGAAUAUAGUGGGUUGGUGGCGUGUAUGUUUUUGGUUGUCUACUAUUCCUGCUGCAAUACUUGCACUUGCUAUGAUGUUUUGUGUUGAGUCCCCUCAUUGGCUAUAUAAGCGAGGAAAACUUGCUGAGGCUGAAUUCGAGUUUGAGAGGCUUCUAGGAAGUUCACAUGUUAAGAGUGCAAUGCUAGAGCUUUCGAAGUCGAAUAGAGAGGACGAAACUGAAAGUGUUAAGAUCUCUGAAUUG
rnacentral:misc_RNA from 1 species